AAUUAACCCGCGCGUAAACUGAAAUCAGAUAUAGAGAAGUCCCGGACUAGAUGCCGCGGAACAUCUUUUUCUGGAUCAAAGGGAAAGGAUGUAAUUAGUCUUACUAUAAGUACGGUGUUGACGGAGGCUAAAUUAGAUCGCUGAAACACCCAGCGCUCUACCGUUUCUUAUCAAGUGUUGUUGUCGUUUCGCCCCAGGUUAGCUGUCAUUGCGCAGAACAGAUCUAAGACAUUCUGGUCUUAACCACCCCAUCUUUUUUCCUUGACAAUAAUAUAUUUGAAGAUCACAUUAUCCAGUGUUAUUCCUUCCUAUCACGUACAGUAAAGGUCCCCCUCGUUAGUUUGUUGCAUUCACUUUAUUGGUAGUUGUCGAUGGUUAUUAAUGAUAAUCACUAAUUUCUUCAUCUUCUUUCGGCGUAUGUAUAUUUUUCUGGGACACUGAUACACAUCUAUCUCUCUACGAUUAUUGACCCUUGCAUUAGCAGAUAGAUGUCCGUGAACACACACCCACAAAUAGACAGGAGCGAGAGAAAGACGAACAUACAAUACAGCAGCUAUGUAUCUAUGUAUCCACCUUUCUAAACACAGGUGAUUUGUGACAUGUGAUGAGAAGGAGAGAAAAAAACUGUAAAGUUCACUAGACUUUAAUACGAAUAAUACUUGGUACAGAGUUAAGAAAUUGCCCUCGGAAUUUGCAACUGUUGCUAUAAAGUGUGUGGAGUUACAAAUAUAUGCACUAACCGUGUCUGCUGUGGUAUAAUAAUUAUGGAGAUUGAAUUGAAUUCAUUUCAUUUCUACUCGCUGAAAUUAUGGCAUACUAAAGCCAUACUGGAGCACUGCCUUGAAAAAGUUUUAGUCAAAUGAAUCAACCACAGUACUUUUCUUCUUUUUUUUUUUUAAGCCUGCUACUUAUUCUUUCAGUUCUGUUUCUGUUUCUUGCCGAGUGUCUCUCUGACACCUAGGACAGAGAAACGUACUGUAUAUGGGAGAAUAUACAAAUAAUAACAACAGACGAGGACAGGUGGUGUAAAUAACAAAAGUAUAUAUUAGUAUGACGCUCGGGAAUACGGAAAGUCUUUGACGUUUCGAGCUACGCUCUUCAACAGAAAGAAUACAGAGACAAGGAGAAAAA